UACGUAGGUCCCGAGCGUUGUCCGGAUUUAUUGGGCGUAAAGCGAGCGCAGGUGGUUUAUUAAGUCUGGUGUAAAAGGCAGUGGCUCAACCAUUGUAUGCAUUGGAAACUGGUAGACUUGAGUGCAGGAGAGGAGAGUGGAAUUCCAUGUGUAGCGGUGAAAUGCGUAGAUAUAUGGAGGAACACCGGUGGCGAAAGCGGCUCUCUGGUCUGUAACUGACGCUGGGGUUCGAAAGCGUGGGUAGCAAACAGG
rnacentral:rRNA from 1 species